rnacentral:rRNA from 1 species
GACGAACGCUGGCGGCGUGCUUAACACAUGCAAGUCGAACGGAAAGGCCCUGCUUUUGUGGGGUGCUCGAGUGGCGAACGGGUGAUUAACACGUGAGUAACCUGCCCUUGACUUUGGGAUAACUUCAGGAAACUUGGGCUAAUACCGGAUAGGAGCUCCUGCUGCAUGGUGGGGGUUGGAAAGUUUCGGCGGUUGGGGAUGGACUCGCGGCUUAUCAGCUUGUUGGUGGGGUAGUGGCUUACCAAGGCUUUGACGGGUAGCCGGCCUGAGAGGGUGACCGGCCACAUUGGGACUGAGAUACGGCCCAGACUCCUACGGGAGGCAGCAGUGGGGAACAUUGCACAAUGGGCGGAAGCCUGAUGCAGCAACGCCGCGUGCGGGAUGACGGCCUUCGGGGUGUAAACCGCUUUCGCCUGUGACGAAGCGUGAGUGACGGUAAUGGGUAAAGAAGCACCGGCUAACUACGUG